GACGAACGCUGGCGGCGUGCUUAACACAUGCAAGUGGGGCGACGAACCAGGCUUCGGCCUGGGGCAAAGCCGCGAACGGGUGAGUAACACGUGGGUAACCUGCCCCGAAGACUGGGACAACCCGGGGAAACCCGGGCUAAUACCAGAUGUGGUCACCGUUCAUAAGAACGAUCACUAAAGGAAGCUUCGGCCUCCGCUUCGGGAUGGGCCCGCGGCCCAUUAGCUUGUUGGUGAGGUAACGGCUCACCAAGGCGACGAUGGGUAGCUGGUCUGAGAGGACGAUCAGCCACACUGGGACUGAGACACGGCCCAGACUCCUACGGGAGGCAGCAGUGGGGAAUCUUGCGCAAUGCGCGAAAGCGUGACGCAGCAACGCCGCGUGGGGGAAGAAGGCCUUCGGGUUGUAAACCUCUUUCAGGAGGGACGAAGCUUCGGGAGCGAAUAGCUCUCCGGAGUGACGGUACCUCCAGAAGAAGCCCCGGCUAACUACGUGCCAGCCGCCGCCGUAAAAC
rnacentral:rRNA from 1 species